rnacentral:rRNA from 1 species
AGAGUUUGAUCAUGGCUCAGAUUGAACGCUGGCGGAAUGCUUUACACAUGCAGGUCGAACGGCAGCACGGGAGCUUGCUCCUGGUGGCGAGUGGCGAACGGGUGAGUAAUAUAUCGGAACGUAUCCAAUAAUGGGGGAUAACUAAGCGAAAGCUUGGCUAAUACCGCAUACGCCCUGAGGGGGAAAGCUAGGGAUCUUCGGACCUGGCGUUGAUGGAGCGGCCGAUAUCUGAUUAGCUAGUUGGUGGGGUAAAGGCCCACCAAGGCGACGAUCAGUAGCUGGUCUGAGAGGACGACCAGCCACACUGGAACUGAGACACGGUCCAGACUCCUACGGGAGGCAGCAGUGGGGAAUUUUGGACAAUGGGCGCAAGCCUGAUCCAGCCAUUCCGCGUGAGUGAAGAAGGCCUUCGGGUUGUAAAGCUCUUUCGCAAGGGAAGAAAGAUUACGCUCUAACAUAGCGUGAUUAUGACGGUACCUUGAUAAGAAGCACCGGCUAACUACGUGCCAGCAGCCGCGGUAAUACGUAGGGUGCGAGCGUUAAUCGGAAUUACUGGGCGUAAAGCGUGCGCAGGCUGUUUUGUAAGUCAGAUGUGAAAUCCCCGAGCUCAACUUGGGAACUGCGUUUGAAACUACAAGACUAGAAUAUGUCAGAGGGGGGUAGAAUUCCACGUGUAGCAGUGAAAUGCGUAGAGAUGUGGAGGAAUAUCAAUGGCGAAGGCAGCCCCCUGUGAUAAUAUUGACGCUCAUGCACGAAAGCGUGUGGAGCAAACAGGAUUAGAUACCCUGGUAGUCCACGCC